AAACCACGAUGAGGACAAUGCCUUAGCAGAUCUUUGUCUCUCUCCCAAGUCUCGUACAAUGACUCAACAUCAAAUUGUGUGAAUAAUGUAAUAUCAUUCCUCAUCUU
rnacentral:snoRNA from 1 species